rnacentral:rRNA from 1 species
AACGAGAUCCAUUUGGUGCUUGCACCAGAGAAGAUCUAGUGGCGAACGGGUGAGUAGCACGUGAGCAACCUACCCCGAAGACCGGGAUAACACCGGGAAACCGGUGCUAAUACCGGAUACCCUCACAGCAUCACAUGGUGCAGUGAGGAAAUGGAUUCCGCUUCGGGAGGGGCUCGCGGCCUAUCAGCUUGUUGGUGGGGUAAUGGCCUACCAAGGCUUCGACGGGUAGCUGGUCUGAGAGGACGAUCAGCCACACUGGGACUGAGACACGGCCCAGACUCCUACGGGAGGCAGCAGUGGGGAAUCUUGCGCAAUGGGCGAAAGCCUGACGCAGCAACGCCGCGUGAGGGACGAAGAUUCUUUGAAUUGUAAACCUCUUUCAGCAGGGACGAUAAUGACGGUACCUGCAGAAGAAGCACCGGCCAACUACGUGCCAGCAGCCGCGGUGAUACGUAGGGUGCAAGCGUCGUCCGGAUUUAUUGGGCGUAAAGGGCUCGUAGGCGGUUCGACAAGUCGGGUGUGAAACCCCCAGGCUCAACCUGGGGACGCCACUCGAAACUGUCGUGACUAGAGUUUGGUAGGGGAUCACGGAAUUCCUGGUGUAGCGGUGGAAUGCGCAGAUAUCAGGAG